rnacentral:siRNA from 1 species
UACCAUUUUUGUUUUUGACAGAAU